rnacentral:rRNA from 1 species
GACGAACGCUGGCGGCGUGCUUAACACAUGCAAGUCGAACGGAAAGGCCCUGCUUUUGUGGGGUGCUCGAGUGGCGAACGGGUGAGUAACACGUGAGUAACCUGCCCUUGACUUUGGGAUAACUUCAGGAAACUGGGGCUAAUACCGGAUAGGAGCUCCUGCUGCAUGGUGGGGGUUGGAAAGUUUCGGCGGUUGGGGAUGGACUCGCGGCUUAUCAGCUUGUUGGUGGGGUAGUGGCUUACCAAGGCUUUGACGGGUAGCCGGCCUGAGAGGGUGACCGGCCACAUUGGGACUGAGAUACGGCCCAGGCUCCUACGGGAGGCAGCAGUGGGGAAUAUUGCACAAUGGGCGGAAGCCUGAUGCAGCAACGCCGCGUGCGGGAUGACGGCCUUCGGGUUGUAAGCCGCUUUCGCCUGUGACGAAGCGUGAGUGACGGUAAUGGGUAAAGAAGCACCGGCUAACUACGUGCCAGCAGCCGCGGUGAUACGUAGGGUGCGAGCGUUGUCCGGAUUUAUUGGGCGUAAAGGGCUCGUAGGUGGUUGAUCGCGUCGGAAGUGUAAUCUUGGGGCUUAACCCUGAGCGUGCUUUCGAUACGGGUUGACUUGAGGAAGGUAGGGGAGAAUGGAAUUCCUGGUGGAGCGGUGGAAUGCGCAGAUAUCAGGAGGAACACCAGUGGCGAAGGCGGUUCUCUGGGCCUUUCCUGACGCUGAGGAGCGAAAGCGUGGGGAGCGAACAGGCUUAGAUACCCUGGUAGUCCACGCUGUAAACGGUGGGUACUAGGUGUGGGGUCCAUUCCACGGGUUCCGUGCCGUAGCUAACGCUUUAAGUACCCCGCCUGGGGAGUACGGCCGCAAGGCUAAAACUCAAAGGAAUUGACGGGGCCCCGCACAAGCGGCGGAGCAUGCGGAUUAAUUCGAUGCAACGCGUAGAACCUUACCUGGGUUUGACAUGGAUCGGGAGUGCUCAGAGAUGGGUGUGCCUCUUUUGGGGUCGGUUCACAGGUGGUGCAUGGCUGUCGUCAGCUCGUGUCGUGAGAUGUUGGGUUAAGUCCCGCAACGAGCGCAACCCUUGUUCACUGUUGCCAGCACGUUAUGGUGGGGACUCAGUGGAGACCGCCGGGGUCAACUCGGAGGAAGGUGGGGAUGACGUCAAGUCAUCAUGCCCCUUAUGUCCAGGGCUUCACGCAUGCUACAAUGGCUGGUACAGAGAGUGGCGAGCCUGUGAGGGUGAGCGAAUCUCGGAAAGCCGGUCUCAGUUCGGAUUGGGGUCUGCAACUCGACCUCAUGAAGUCGGAGUCGCUAGUAAUCGCAGAUCAGCAACGCUGCGGUGAAUACGUUCCCGGG